UACGUAGGGGGCAAGCGUUGUCCGGAAUCAUUGGGCGUAAAGAGCGCGUAGGCGGUCCGGUAAGUCCGCUCUGAAAGUCCGGGGCUCAACCCCGGGAGGCGGGCGGAUACUGUCGGGCUAGAGUCCGGAAGAGGCGAGUGGAAUUCCUGGUGUAGCGGUGAAAUGCGCAGAUAUCAGGAGGAACACCAAUGGCGAAGGCGGUUCUCUGGGCAUUACCUGCGCUGAGGAGCGAAAGUGUGGGGAGCGAACAGG
rnacentral:rRNA from 1 species